rnacentral:misc_RNA from 1 species
GAAAUGCGAUAAGUAAUGUGAAUUGCAGAAUUCAGUGAAUCAUCGAGUCUUUGAACGCACAUUGCGCCCCAUGGUAUUCCGGGGGGCAUGCCUGUCCGAGCGUCAUUGCUGCCCUCAAGCACGGCUUGUGUGUUGGGCCCCGUCCCCUCCCCCGGGGACGGGCCCGAAAGGCAGCGGCGGCACCGCGUCCGAUCCUCGAGCGUAUGGGGCUUUGUCACCCGCUCUGUAGGCCCGGCCGGCGCCAGCCGACACCCAACUUUUAUUUCUAAGGUUGACCUCGGAUCAGGUAGGGAUACCCGCUGAACUUAAGC